rnacentral:rRNA from 1 species
CUAAGAAUCUUGCGCAAUGGGGGAAACCCUGACGCAGCGACGCCGCGUGGACGAUGAAGGCCUUCGGGUUGUAAAGUCCGAUAAGCGGGGAAGAAUAAGCAACGGGUAAUAUUCGUUGUGAUGACGGUACCUGCCUAAAGCCCCGGCUAACUACGUGCCAGCAGCCGCGGUAAUACGUAUGGGGCUAGCGUUGUUCGGAAUUAUUGGGCGUAAAGGGCGUCUAGGCGGGGGAUUAAGUUAGAUGUGAAAGCUAUGGGCUCAACCCAUAAACUGCAUCUAAGACUGGUUCUCUUGAGUCCGGGAGAGGAGAGCGGAAUUCCAGGUGUAGCGGUGAAAUGCGUAGAUAUCUGGAAGAACACCAGUGGCGAAGGCGGCUAUCUUGCCUAGGACUGACGCUGAAGCGCAAAAGCGUAAGGAACGAACAGGUUUAGAUACGCGGGUAGGA